UAAUACGAGGGGGGCAAGCGUUGUCCGGAUUUAUUGGGCGUAAAGAGUUCGUAGGCUGGUCGGUCAGUCGAAAUUGAAAUCCCACGGCUUAACCGUGGACCCGGUUUCGAUACUGCCAAUCUUGAGUGAGGUAGAGGUAAGCGGAAUUCCUGGUGUAGCGGUGAAAUGCGUAGAUAUCAGGAGGAACACCAAAGGCGAAGGCAGCUUACUGGACCUAUACUGACGCUGAGGAACGAAAGCGUGGGGAGCAAACAGGAUUAGAGACCCUGGUAGUCCACGCCGUAAACGAUGAGUACUUGGUGGUGGGGGAUUCGACCCCUUCACUGUCGGAGCUAACGCGUUAAGUACUCCGCCUGGGAACUACGACCGCAAGGUUG
rnacentral:rRNA from 1 species